UACGUAGGGGGCAAGCGUUAUCCGGAAUUACUGGGUGUAAAGGGAGCGUAGACGGUAACGUAAGUCUGGAGUGAAAGGCGGGGGCCCAACCCCCGGACUGCUCUGGAAACUAUGUUACUAGAGUGCAGGAGAGGUAAGCGGAAUUUCUAGUGUAGCGGUGAAAUGCGUAGAUAUUAGGAGGAACACCAGUGGCGAAGGCGGCUUACUGGACUGUAACUGACGUUGAGGCUCGAAAGCGUGGGGAGCAAACAGG
rnacentral:rRNA from 1 species